rnacentral:rRNA from 1 species
GACGAACGCUGGCGGCGUGCUUAACACAUGCAAGUCGAACGUGAUUUUUGUAGAAAUUCUUUCGGGAAUGGAAAUGAAAUGAAAGUGGCGAACGGGUGAGUAACACGUGAGCAACCUACCUUACACAGGGGGAUAGCCGUUGGAAACGACGAUUAAUACCGCAUGAGACCACAGAAUCGCAUGAUAUAGGGGUCAAAGAUUUAUCGGUGUAAGAAGGGCUCGCGUCUGAUUAGCUAGUUGGAAGGGUAAAGGCCUACCAAGGUGACGAUCAGUAGCCGGUCUGAGAGGAUGAACGGCCACAUUGGAACUGAGACACGGUCCAAACUCCUACGGGAGGCAGCAGUGGGGAAUAUUGCACAAUGGGGGGAACCCUGAUGCAGCGACGCCGCGUGAGCGAAGAAGGUUUUCGAAUCGUAAAGCUCUGUCCUAUGAGAAGAUAAUGACGGUAUCAUAGGAGGAG